UGUAUCAAACAGAAAUUUCUGUCGCCUGUAAAAUGAUAUCACAGCGAUCAGGAAAGUGAGGAAAUUGCUGGAGAGCCAAACAGGAAUAUGUCUGGAAUUUGGAAAAAUGUUUCAGAACGCAGGUUGAGAGAAGGCACAUCAGACGUCCUCCCCGUGUGUGAAUAGAUACCUCGCCCACCCUCUCUCCCGCUGCAUAUUUAUUUCCGACAGAGGGCGAUGGAACUGGCGAAGCUCUCGAACGACGAAGAGGGAGAUGCGGUGGUGAACGGCAGUCUCAUUGGCGAGCCAUGUCACGAGAAGGUGAUAUUAAAUGAUGGGUACGAUCCGACUGACUCCAUUUCAGCCGAACGUGAGGAAUUCCUUCCCCACCCGUCUGGGAAGAAACC